UACGGAGGGUGCGAGCGUUGUCCGGAAUCACUGGGCGUAAAGGGCGCGUAGGCGGCGCGGAUAGUCGGCGGUGAAAGCCCGGAGCUCAACUCCGGGUCGGCCGUCGAUACUUCCGGGCUUGAGCACUGUAGAGGCAGAUGGAAUUCCGGGUGUAGCGGUGGAAUGCGUAGAGAUCCGGAAGAACACCCGUGGCGAAGGCGGCCCCCUGGGCCGUACCUGACGCUGAGGAGCGAAAGCGUGGGGAGCGAUCCGG
rnacentral:rRNA from 1 species